rnacentral:rRNA from 1 species
UACGUAGGGGGCAAGCGUUGUCCGGAAUUAUUGGGCGUAAAGCGCGCGCAGGCGGUCGCGUAAGUCUGCUGUGAAAUCUCCCUGGCUCAACCGGGAGGGGGCGGCGGAGACUGCGGGACUGGAGGGAGCUAGAGGCCGGUGGAAUUCCCGGUGUAGUGGUGAAAUGCGUAGAGAUCGGGAGGAACACCUGUGGCGAAGGCGGCCGGCUGGGGGUGCCCUGACGCUGAGGCGCGAAAGCGUGGGGAGCGAACCGG